rnacentral:lncRNA from 1 species
AUGCAGUUUGUGAAAGAAGAGAGAGAAGAGAACAAGAGUGAACCAGACACCAGCACAAUAAAACACGAGGAACCAGAAACCCGGAGAAUAAAACUCGAGGAACCAGAAAUAAAACACGAGGAACCAGAAACAUGGAGAAUAAAACACGAGGAACCAGAAACCCGGAGAAUAAAACUCGAGGAACCACAAACCUGGAGAAUAAAACAUGAGGAACCAGAAACCCGGAGAAUAAAAGACGAGGAACCAGAAAUAAAACACGAGGAACCAGAAACAUGGAGAAUAAAACACGAGGAACCAGAAACCUGGAGAAUAAAACACGAGGAACCAGAAAUAAAACACGAGGAACCAGAAACAUGGAGAAUAAAACACGAGGAACCAGAAACCUGGAGAAUGAAAGACGAGGAACCAGAAAUAAAACACGAGGAACCAGAAACAUGGAGAAUAAAACACGAGGAACCAGAAACAUGGAGAAUAAAACACGAGGAACCAAAAACCUGCAGAAUAAAUCACGAGGAACAAGGAGAAUCAAAGACAAUGGAAAUGGCAGCCCUGGGAAGACCUCUGUAUAUUGGUAUGCUUUACGACUGCCAGGUGGUAUAUCUAUAUCAACUAAUUCUCAUUCAUUUGAAACUACAAGUCUACUAACUCUCAGAGUAGACUGUUAGGGUAGGUUUAGGGUUAGUAGAAUAAGUUGACAUAUACUUGCAAAGUUUCUCAUAGUCAGUAUGUUGUAUGUUGUGGACCCAUCAAAAUAAAGUGUUAGAAUUCAAUUCAAUUCAAUUCAAAGUUUAUUUGUAUAGUGCUUUUUUCAAUAUGAAUCGUUACAAAGCAACUUUACAGAAAAUAAUGUUUCUACAAUAUUUAGUAGUAGCUUAUGGUGGUGACUAUCAGUUUGUGCACGUUUGACAGGAUUUGUAGAAAAAAUGUAUACAAGACGUAGUCAGCUAGACGAUGAACAUUAUUAAUAAUAUUAAUUAAUAAUUGUUAUAUGAUGCAGUCAAACAUGUAGCAAUAAUUGUUAGUUCUGUUUGGUGAUUCAGGGUUAGCAUCAUCUGGGGUCCUCUGAGGGUCAGCAUCAUCUCUUCUCAGGUGUUCUGGGUCCAGACUGAAGCUUGUGUAAAUCCUAGCUACCCGUGGCAAAACAUAGAAACAAAAUAGAGACAUCAUUAGCAUAGCUGCUGAUUCAACAAAGUAAAAUUAGUUUAACCCAAGCUAAUGAAUAAAAAUGCACAUUUGAUCAGAUGCAACUACACUCACAAUUUAAGAGAUACAUUAUUCGAAUGCUUGGCGAAAGAGAUGCAUUUUUAAUCUAGAUUUAAACAGAGAGAGUGUGUCUGAACCCCGAACAUUAUCAGGAAGGCUAUUCCAGAGUUUGGGAGCCAAAUGUGAAAAAGCUCUACCUCCUUUAGUGGACUUUGCUAUCCUAGGAACUACCAAAAGUCCAGCGUUUUGUGACCUUAGGGAGCGUGAUGGGUUGUAGCGUGGUAGAAGGCUAGUUAGGUACGCAGGAGCUAAACCAAUUAGGGCCUUAUAGGUAAGUAAUGAUAAUUUGUAACUGAUACAGAGCUUAAUAGGUAGCCAGUGCAGAGACUGUAAAAUUGGGGUAAUAUGAUCAUAUUUUCUUGACCUGGUAAGGACUCUAGGUGCUGCAUUUUGGACUACCUGUAGCUUGUUUGUUGAAGAAGCAGGACAACCACCUAGAAGUGCAUUACAAUAGUCCAGUCUAGAGGUCAUGAAUGCAUGAACUAGCUUUUCUGCAUCAGAAACAGAUAACAUGUUUCGUAGCUUGGCAAUGUUUCUAAGAUGGAAGAAUGCAGUUUUUGUAACAUUGGAAAUAUGAUUUUCAAAAGACAAAUUGCUGUCUAAUAUGAUACCCAGAUUUCUGACUGUAGAGGAAGUAACAGUACAUCCGUCUAGUUCUGUGUAGUGUUUUUUGGUCCAAUAAUUAAUAUCUCCGUCUUAUCCGAAUUUAAUUGGAGAAAAUUAUUUGUCAUCCAAUCUUUUACAUUUUUAACACACUCUGUUAGCUUAGAUAAUUGAGAAUUGAUAAUCGUUGAGAUAUAUAGCUGAGUAUCAUCAGUGGAAGCUAAUUCCGUAUUUUCUAAUAAUAUUACCAAGGGGCAACAUGUAUAUUGAAAAUAGAAGGGGACCUAGGACGGAUCCUUGUGGCACUCCAAAUUUUACUGAUGAUAAAUGAGAUGACACCCCACUUAAGUAAACAAAAUGGUAGCGAUCGGACAGGUAGGAUCUAAACCAUCUUAGAGCCUGCCCUUGAAUACCUGUAUAGUUUUGUAAUCUAUCUAUGAGUAUGUCAUGGUCUAUGGUGUCGAACGCAGCACUAAGAUCAAGUAAGACUAGAAAUGAGAUGCAGCCUUGAUUUGACAGAAGGAGCAGGUCAUUUGUAAUUUUAACAAGUGCAGUUUCUUUGCUAUGGUGGGGCCUGAAACCUGACUGAAAUUCUUAAUACAGAUCAUUUUUAUGCAGGAAGGUGCUCAAUUGAGCAGACACAACUUUUUCAAAAUUUUUUGACAUAAAUGGAAGAUUUGAAAUAGGCCUAUAAUUUGCCAGUACACUAGGAUCUAGUUUUGGUUUCUUAAAAAGAGGCUUGAUAACCGCCAGCUUGAAUGGUUUUGGGACGUGAGCUAAAGAUAACCACGAGUUAAUGAUAUUGAGAAGCGGUUCUUCGGCUACAGGUAACAACUCUUUCAGUAAUUUAGUGGGUACAGAUCUAAUAAACAUGUUGUUGGUUUAGAUACAGUGAUAAGUUUAUUUAGCUCUUCCUGUCCUAUAGUUGUAAAGCACUGUAGUUUAUCUUUGGGUGCGAUGGAUGAAACUGAAGUGUUAGAUGAUGUAGAAUCUACAUUCGCUAUUGUAUUUCUAAUGUUAUCUAUUUUAUCAGUGAAGAAAUUCAUAAAGUCAUUACUAUUUAACGUUGGUGGAAUAUUUGAAUCAGGUGGCGUCUGGUAAUUUGUUAAUUUAGCCACUGUGCUAAAUAAAAACCUUGGAUUGUUUUGGUUAUUUUCUAUGAGUUUGUGUAUAUGCUCUGCCCUAGCAGUUUUUAGAGCCUGUCUAUUGCUGGACAUACUGUUUUUCCAUGCAAUUCUAAAAACUUCCAAGUUAGUUUUUCUCCAUUUGCGUUCAAGACUACGAGUUUCUUUCUUGAGAGAGUGAGUAUUACUGUUAUACCAUGGCAAGUUAUUAAGCAGACAGUCUAAUGACUGCUAGUUGACAUAUAGUUGCAAAGUUACUUACUGUUACUAGAAUGUUUACAGUGGACAAUCAAAAUAAAGUGUUAUACCUUUUUUUCUUUUCACCAAAUGUUUAAUCAUGACCAGUCCUUGUGAAACAAAACUAUAAUACCUGCACAUUUGCAUUUACAUUUACAACAGUACAUCACUCCCUCAUACAUAAAAUAACACUUAAAGCCAUUUUAAUUUCAGGUGUUACACUCUGGGAUAAGAAAUCAUUGAGUGAAAAAUUUGGACACUCGUCAACAGACCCAGACAAAUCUGCUGUUCAGUAGCACUGAUUCUCUCUCUAGUAAGUCCAACCUCCUGGGUGUAAGUGCUUCCCUGAAGGCCAGUUUCUUGGGGGGGCUUGUGGAUGUGGGAGGAUCUGGCAAGUUCCUGCAUGACACCAAAUCCUCAAAUCAAUAGUCCAGAGUUACAAUGUAUUACAGAGAAACCGCAAAAUAUGAAUAGCUCACUAUGUCCCAGCUGGGCCAGUUCAUCUACCCUGAGGUGUUUGACAAGAAAACUGCAACUCAUGUGGUCACGGCAGUACAGUAUGGAGCUCAGGCCCUCAUGGUGUUUGAUCGGACAUUUUCAGAAGACGAGAACAAGCAGGAGAUUGAGGGAGAACUGAAUAUCAUGUUCAAGAACAUCCCUUCAUUUUCAAUUGAUGCAGAAGCAUCUGGCAGUAUGAAAGAACAUGAAAAGAAAAAGGCUGAGAAAAUCACCUGCAUAUUUCAUGGGGAUGUCCUACUUGAGGAGAACCCCACCACAUACAUGGAAUCCAUUGAGAUAUACAAGAAGCUCCGCAUUCUGCUGAAGGAGAAUCCACAGAAUAUGGUUCCAAUAAAAGUCUGGCUCCAUCCUCUUCAUCUGUUAGAGAACAAAGCAGCUCGGCUCGAUAGAAAAAUGACCACAAGUCUGAUUUCUGACGCUGAUCAUAUAAUCAAGGAGCUUGGAGAGGCAGAGAGGACACACAAUGACCUGUGAAUUGGUCAAUGCUCUUAGUGACAUCAAAGAGAGACUGCAAUUAUUUAAUAAAUCAUUUUGCAUGUACAAGACAAUGUUCAUAGAAGCAGUCGGCAGGGUCUUGCCUGUUAUUCAAAGAGGAAUGGAAGAGGAAAAUUUCUGGAAGACAUCCUGAAGAUCCACAGGAGCUCCCCAUUCAGUGCUGAUAUGCUUAAGUCGUGGUUAAAUGAUGCAAGGUCUGAACUUCUCAUCUUGAGUUCUUACAUCAAGAUGCUACAGGGGAUCGAUAUCAAAUACUCAGUUGAUCUCACUACCACCUUAUUUGAUCCUGAAGUUGAUGCAGUGUGGGCUUGACCUUCACAUGUCUGAAGUAUAAAGACUCAUAUAUUUCAAGCCUGAAGGAGUAUAUUGAAUCUGACAAGUUUAAAGAGCUAGAAGAGAGUAAAACUUUUUCUGUUAAAUCUGUUCAAAAGUGGUUCAAUGAACACCGCUGGAGUGAUGCUGGGUUAAAGUGGUUUAAUGAACGCAGUGAGAGUGAUACUGGGUUUUCUGUGAAAUCUGUCACAAAGUGGUUCAAUGAUAACAGUGUCUCAAUGAACAUAAGAGAGAACUUGUCUCAAUUCAGGUGGUUUGCAGAGGCCAAUAAAUAUGAAAAGAGAAUCCACUUCAGUAUUUCUGCCAUCUCCAAUCCCAACAUUGCAGGCUCCUCCAUCUAUCUCUAUGAAAAAGGGAAACUGACAGAAAAACAGUUCAAGUCUGUGUCCAACCCCGCCACCCCCACCAAUAGUGAAAAAUGUAUGGGACCAAGCUGUGUACCUUAAACUGCAGAAGUCUUCAUCUAGAGACAGAGUGCAGUACAGAGUGGAAUACAAGCGGGUGAAACCACAUUCUGGAGCUGAGGAACCAUGGCCUCAUAUU